CCUACGGGAGUCAGCAGUAGGGAAUCUUUCACAAUGGGCGAAAGCCUGAUGGAGCAACGCCGCGUGCAGGAUGAAGGCCUUCGGGUUGUAAACUGCUUUUAUAAGCGAGAAAUAUGAUGGUAACUUAUGAAUAAGGAUCGGCUAACUACGUGCCAGCAGCCGCGGUCAUACGUAGGAUCCGAGCAUUAUCCGGAGUGACUGGGUGUAAAGAGUUGCGUAGGUGGCAUAAUAAGUAGCUAGUGAAAUCUGGUGGCUCAACCAUUCAGACUAUUAGCUAAACUGUUAAGCUCGAGACCGUUAGGGGUAACUGGAAUUUCUAGUGUAGGAGUGAAAUCCGUAGAUAUUAGAAGGAACACCAAUAGCGUAGGCAGGUUGCUGGGACGGGUCUGACACUAAGGCACGAAAGCGUAGGGAGCAAACGGGAUUAGAUACCCGGGUAGUC
rnacentral:rRNA from 1 species